GUGUCAGCCGCCGCGGUAAUACGGAGGGUGCAAGCGUUAUUCGGAAUUACUGGGCGUAAAGCGCGUGUAGGCGGGAUGGUAAGUCGGAUGUGAAAUCCCUGGGCUCAACCCAGGAAGUGCAUUCGAUACUAUCAUCCUUGAGUAUGGGAGAGGAGAGUGGAAUUCCUAGUGUAGAGGUGAAAUUCGUAGAUAUUAGGAGGAACACCCGUGGCGAAGGCGACUCUCUGGACCAAUACUGACGCUGAGACGCGAAAGCGUGGGGAGCAAACAGGAUUAGAUACCCUGGUAGUCCACGCCGUAAACGUUGAGAACUAGGUGUAGCGGGUAUUGACCCCUGCUGUGCCGAAGCUAACGCAUUAAGUUCUCCGCCUGGGGAGUACGGCCGCAAGGCUAAAACUCAAAUGAAUUGACGGGG
rnacentral:rRNA from 1 species